rnacentral:rRNA from 1 species
GACGGGGACCCGCACAAGCAGCGGAGCGUGUGGUUUAAUUCGAUGCUACACGAAGAACCUUACCAGGGUUUGACAUGCAAGUGGUAGGAAUCUGAAAAGGGACCGACCUUCGGGGAGCUUGCACAGGUGCUGCAUGGCUGUCGUCAGCUCGUGUCGUGAGAUGUUCGGUUAAGUCCGCUAACGAGCGCAACCCUCACUGUGUGUUAUAUGUGUCACACGGGACUGCCGGUUUUAAGCCGGAGGAAGGUGGGGAUGACGUCAAGUCAGCAUGGCCUUUAUAUCCUGGGCUACACACACGCUACAAUGGUCGGUACAAUAGGUUGCCAAGCCGCGAGGCGGAGCCAAUCCACAAAGCCGGCCUCAGUUCAGAUUGUAGGCUGCAACUCGCCUGCAUGAAGAUGGAGUUGCUAGUAACCGCAGGUCAGCAAUACUGCGGUGAAUACGUUCCCGGGUCUU